rnacentral:rRNA from 1 species
ACUCCUACGGGAGGCAGCAGUGGGGAAUAUUGGACAAUGGGCGCAAGCCUGAUCCAGCCMUACCGCGUGGGUGAAGAAGGCCUUCGGGUUGUAAAGCCCUUUUGUUGGGAAAGAAAUCCAGCUGGUUAAUACCCGGUUGGGAUGACGGUACCCAAAGAAUAAGCACCGGCUAACUUCGUGCCAGCAGCCGCGGUAAUACGAAGGGUGCAAGCGUUACUCGGAAUUACUGGGCGUAAAGCGUGCGUAGGUGGUUGUUUAAGUCUGUUGUGAAAGCCCUGGGCUCAACCUGGGAACUGCAGUGGAAACUGGACGACUAGAGUGUGGUAGAGGGUAGCGGAAUUCCUGGUGUARCARUGAAAUGCGUASAGAUCAGGAGGAACAUCSAUGGCGAAGGCAGCUACCUGGACCAACACUGACACUGAGGCACGAAAGCGUGGGGAGCAAACAGGAUUAGAUACCCUGGUAGUCCACGCCCUAAACGAUGCGAACUGGAUGUUGGGUGCAAUUUGGCACGCAGUAUCGAAGCUAACGCGUUAAGUUCGCCGCCUGGGGAGUACGGUCGCAAGACUGARACUCAAAGGAAUUGACGG